rnacentral:rRNA from 1 species
AUGUUUCCCGAGAGAGACUGCCUUCUCUCAGGCCAGCAGUCUUGUACUUAUAGUCGACUGCUCUAUGAUGAUCUGACCUCUUUCCUGGGCUCUGCUUGCUCGUCUACGCUCCGACCAAUUCAGUCAAAAUGGCCUUUGUCGAUAGUCUCGGCAACCAAGAUAUAA